UGGAAGCCCUGUCCCCUGCCUGCCACUCACUCCCUGGGGCGCGCUGAGCAGCAGGGCUCCUCGUCAUGGGGAGCCCUCAGCCACCCGAGUGCUCAACAGGGACGAAUCUAACAAUAUGACGUAAAGUCGUCCACCCGAAGGCAAGAGGCUCUGCCACCUUGCUUUGCCCUGACCCGGGCCCAGCCUCAGUUUCCUCAGUGAAGAACACCUACCUGUCCUACGGGCGCGGCACGCAGGGCCCUGUCCCCACCUCUCAGUUCUGCCUUCGCUCUUUCACAGUCUUGGGGGGCUGAGGCACUCCUAAAAACGGAGGAUGGCGGGCAGUCGCAGCCCCUCCAGGGGUUCCCCUGUCUGUGCUUUCAGUCAGCAGCGCCUUCAGCUCCCCCUCCUCCCGGUCCGGCGGUGUGGGAGCCCACUAAUCUCCUUCUGACCUCACGUCAGAGGUCAGCGGUAAUUUACCCUGCGUCCCACACCUACGUCACCACGCCUGCGUCACUCGCCUCACCUCAGAGUUCCGCAGUAGGCUGUGUCGCUCGCCUCACCUCACAAGUCAGUAGUAACCUAUGCUCGUGUCACCAUGCCGGCCUCAUUCACUUCCGGACAGGAGUUAACAGGAUUCCAUGGCUGCUUUGCAUCCCCUGCGGCCUUCAUGUCCUGGCAGAGAAGAGAUCAGGACACCCAGAGAGACACCAGAUGGG
rnacentral:lncRNA from 1 species